rnacentral:rRNA from 1 species
UACGUAGGGUGCAAGCGUUGUCCGGAAUUAUUGGGCGUAAAGAGCUCGUAGGCGGUCUGUCGCGUCUGCUGUGAAAACUCAGGGCUUAACCCUGAGCUUGCAGUGGGUACGGGCAGACUAGAGUGCGGUAGGGGAGACUGGAAGUUCCUGGUGUAGCGGUGAAAUGCGCAGAUAGUCAGGAGGAACACCGGUGGCGAAGGCGGGUCCUCUGGGC